CCUAGUCACACUGUUGUUCUGAUCCUAACCAUCUAACCAUUCUUAUCACCUUGUCCUUUGCAGGCCAGUUCAGCUUGGCUUAGAUCGACUCUGUAGUGUGAAAAGGACAGUUUUUUCAUCCUUGCCUUGUUACCAGAGAUUGAUUUGUCGCUGGGAAACGAGGUGUGUGCACACGUCAGCCAAUCAUUAGUUGAUCAUAAGAACCAGGGAGAAACACUAACCUAGCAGGACUGUGGACGUCGAGGGCCUGAGUUUAUGCACCCUUGAUCAAGACAAUCAACUGUUACUGUAUUUCUCAGUGUUGAGUUUAUCCAGGUCAACUGUUACUGUAUUUCUCAGUGUUGAGUUUACCCAGGUCAACUGUUACUGUAUUUCUCAGUGUUGAGUUUACCCAGGUCAACUGUUACUGUAUUUCUCAGUGUUGAGUUUACCCAGGUCAACUGUUACUGUAUUUCUCAGUGUUGAGUUUACCCAGGUCAACUGUUACUGUAUUUCUCAGUGUUGAGUUUACCCAGGUCAACUGUUACUGUAUUUCUCAGUGUUGAGUUUACCCUGGUCAACUGGCUAACUCAUUGAUCCUGCCUGGUGAGUUUACCACCCAGCUCUGCCCAUUCAUGUCAUUAGAUAUAAACUGGGAUUUCUGAGUGCUCUGCACAGCUAUAACCAUCAAAGCAAAGCUAGUAGCUGCAACGGAGACUGCAGAGAGAACAGAAUCCUCCACAGUUACAACUGGGAUGUAGACUUCACAAUGAUUGUACAAACAUCAUCAUGGCAACACAGCGUGACUUAGGCCUUAUUAGUAACUGUAAUGAAAUAACAAAUGGAAUGAUUUAAUACCAGACAUGAACCCAGUUACAGUCCACUUCCACUGCUUUUCCAUUUCAAUCGUGUUUGAAAUUACUAUUUGAAAAAAAUACACAUUCUAAUUCAUAUGAAAAAGGGAAUCUAAAAGUAGUGACAUUUCCAAAACUUGUUUACGACCCUGUUAUUACAUGGUAAUUACACAGCUUAUUUCAGUGGUUGUUAAUAUGGUUUAACAAGGCGAAGCCUAUGACGUCAAGUGUGGCCAGAAACCUUACUGUACUAGAAGGAUUGGUACACUUGUAGUCCCGCAGUCAAACACACUCCAGGUCAGGGGUGGGCAAGUCCAUUCCUCCAGGGCCUGAUUGGUGUCACACUUUUUCUCCAUCCCCAGCUAAAACACCUGACUCCAAUAUCAUGAUCUUCAGUUUAGAAUGUUAUUAGUUUAAUCAGCCGUGUUUGCUAGGUGUGGGUGAAAAGUGUGACACCAUCCCUGCUCCAGGGGACUGGAGUUGCCCAUCCCUGCUCCAGGGGACUGGAGUUGCCCAUCCCUGCUCCAGGGGAAUAGAGUUGCCCAUCCCUGCUCCAGGGGAAUGGAGUUGCCCAUUCAUGCUCCAGGGGAAUGGAGUUGCCCAUCCCUGCUCCAGGGGAAUGGAGUUGCCCAUCCCUGCUCCAGGGGAAUGGAGGGGAAUGGAGUUGCCCAUCCCUGCUCCAGGGGAAUGGAGUUGCCCAUCCCUGCUCCAGGGGAAUGGAGUUGCCCUCCAGGGGACUGGAGUUGCCCAUCCCUGCUCCAGGGGAAUAGAGUUGCCCAUCCCUGCUCCAGGGGACUAGAAGUUGCCCAUCCCUGCUCCAGGGGAAUAGAGUUGCCCAUCCCUGCUCCAGGGGAAUGGAGUUGCCCAUCCCUGCUCCAGGGGAAUGGAGUGCCCAUCCCUGCCCAUCCCUGCUCCAGGGGAAUGGAGUUGCCCAUCCCUGCUCCAGGGGGAAUGGAUUGCCCAUCCCUGCUCCAGGGGAAUGGAGUUGCCCAUUCAUGCUCCAGGGGAAUGGAGUUGCCCAUCCCUGCUCCAGGGGAAUGGAGUUGCCCAUCCCUGCUCCAGGGGACUGGAGUUGCCCAUUCAUGCUCCAGGGGAAUGGAUGACAAAAAGUGAGGGAGACUGAAAGACAGAUACACAGUCCUGGGUUCACUAAGGCCUGAGAGUCAAGGACACGCCCUGAGAUAGAUGAACUGCAGGAACACUGGGUUGUAGUGAUUAUGGCACAGCGUAGCAAAAUGUUUUGCAACUAAAAACAAGUGUUUCUUAUUGUUCAGGUAUCUGUCCCUGUUUCAGUCAGUUUUCUUCCGUUUGGUGCAUAGUAAACACUUCCCUGCUGAGACAGUGAGAGGCCACAUUGUCAUAGAGACUCCACACUCCAGACAAUCAAGGCAGCUUUGUGUUUGUUUUUGUGUGUGAGUUCAUUACAGCACAAUCUUACCAAUGCCAAAGAGGUUUGCAUGCAGUGUUUUACUGUAUAUUAUGAAAAAGCUUGAGCUAUUAUGCUGCAAUUUCAGCUUAGCUUGAUCCAUGUUGAGGAUGGGUUUGCAUGGACACCACCUUGGCCUUGUUAGCUCCCUAGGAACUGUGAUUAUGUAUGUGUGAAUGUAUGCCUCUGACUGAGUCUAUGUCAGUGUAAAACUCUGUGUGUGUGUGUCUGUCUGAAUAUAUAUAUGUAUAUAUGAGUUGUUUUGAAAGAUGUCUCAAGUAUGUAUGUGUUGUUGUCUAAUAAGAGGAUUGUACUGUUAUAUACCAAA
ensembl:lncRNA